UCUUUUCUGAACUGGAAGAGAAAGAGAAGAGUGUUACUGAUUUUCCUUCUCUGGCCACAAAGACCCCAAUUCUGCCCAGAUUUACAGGUUUGCAGUCUCACCCAGUUGCUGUGCUUAUUCUCAAGGAAACUUCAUUUAGCAAAACAAAGUAAAGAAAAAUGGAAAAACCAGGAAAUCUCAUGGAAAGCCUUGGAAUACUUAGAUCAACGUUCAGCUUUUGCACUGAUUAUAAAAGCUCCAUCAUAGA